rnacentral:rRNA from 1 species
AUUGAACGCUGGCGGCAGGCCUAACACAUGCAAGUCGAGCGGUAACAGGGGUAGCUUGCUACCCGCUGACAAGCGGCGGACGGGUGAGUAACGCAUAGGAAUUUACCCGAUAGUGGGGGAUAACCUGGGGAAACCCAGGCUAAUACCGCAUACGUCCUACGGGAGAAAGGGGGCUUCGGCUCCCGCUAUCGGAUGAGCCUAUGUCGGAUUAGCUGGUUGGUGAGGUAAUGGCUUUCCCAAACCCCCC